UACGUAGGGUGCAAGCGUUAAUCGGAAUUACUGGGCGUAAAGCGUGCGCAGGCGGUGAUGUAAGACAGAUGUGAAAUCCCCGGGCUCAACCUGGGAACUGCAUUUGUGACUGCAUCGCUGGAGUGCGGCAGAGGGGGAUGGAAUUCCGCGUGUAGCAGUGAAAUGCGUAGAUAUGCGGAGGAACACCGAUGGCGAAGGCAGCCCCCUGGGCCGACACUGACGCUCAUGCACGAAAGCGUGGGGAGCAAACAGG
rnacentral:rRNA from 1 species